GACGAACGCUGGCGGCGUGCCUAAUACAUGCAAGUCGAACGAGAGCGACCGGUGCUUGCACUGGUCAAUCUAGUGGCGAACGGGUGAGUAACACGUGGGUAACCUGCCCAUCAGAGGGGGAUAACAUCCGGAAACGGAUGCUAAAACCGCAUAGGUCUUCGAACCGCAUGGUUUGAAGAGGAAAAGAGGCGCAAGCUUCUGCUGAUGGAUGGACCCGCGGUGCAUUAGCUAGUUGGUGAGGUAACGGCUCACCAAGGCCGUGAUGCAUAGCCGACCUGAGAGGGUGAUGGGCCACAUUGGGACUGAAACACGGCCCAAACUCCUACGGAAGGCAGCAGUAGGGAAUCUUCCGCAAUGGACGGAAGUCUGACGGAGCAACGCCGCGUGAGUGAAGAAGGUUUUCGGAUCGUAAAACUCUGUUGUGAGAGAAGAACAAGUGCUAGAGUAACUGUUAGCGCCUUGACGGUAUCUAACCAGAAAGCCACGGCUAACUACGUG
rnacentral:rRNA from 1 species